rnacentral:lncRNA from 1 species
ACAGUGCUGUUGUGCUUUGUAAUUUUGGUAAUUUCGCCUAUUUUACCCUUGUCACGUCCUGCUAUUACUUUAACAGUGUCCCCAAGCUUCACAUGCAUUUUGUGCACUAUUGGAAGACUGUUUGGUUUGCAUUUUAUCCUCUCCCAUCUCUUAAGCUGCAAAAAUUAAAUUUGAAAUUACAAAAGAAGUAUCUUAAUGUCUUCUAUGCAAAGUCAAAAUUAGAAAAAAGAAGAAAAACUAAUUGAUAGUUAAUACCAACCUUUGCUUGGAUAGGAGGACAUGGUGCUUUUGUAGACUUCACCUGCAUAUGAAUUGUAUGUAAGCUUCUUAUACUAAUCUUUUAGCAUCCCGUUUGUGUAAUACACGUAGGUGUAAGACCAAUGUGUUUAAUCAAAUUCAAGAUCAAUAACUUUUGUUGAUUUUACAAAAAGUAUAGCUGUUUGAGCCCUAGAAUUUGUGUCAACUCUGGAGAAUUGAAGAUAGUGGUGGGGAACUGGAGGUUAAAGAUCCAUGAAAGAGGACAAAAUCUACAAAUUGAUUACAAAUCUUGUGAAAUCAUGGAGAUUGUGUAAUUUGUGGUUUUGUAUCAGAAAAUUUCAAGCAUGUAUGAUUAUUUUGCUGAAACGAAUUCAUUUCGGAAAUGUAACACUUAGAUGUUGUUUUUCGUUUAAUUCUAAAGGAUAAAAGUGCUUCUAAAUCGUCACUGUUUACAAACUUCACAAAGGGAAAAUGACCACAAUCUCGCAGCAUUUCUCUAUUACAUUCCUCAAACCAAAACAACAAAUCUAGUUGCGCACAAAUGCCAACAAAGGAUGAUAAUAAUUCGACACCCAAAAAGUAAUAAUUGCAUAAUAUAUAGUUAUAUACACAAUUAUAACAGAAAACACAGUAUGAAACGCUGGAUUCACAGAUUUUUACGAGGUACAGAGCCAUUUCUGAAACGAAUUCGCUAAGAAAGUAGAAUUGAGGGGAAGAAAAGGUGUACCAGAGGUGAGGAAGGACACGGCGAUAGACGUUGGCCGAGAAAGGAUUUGGAUGAGAGAGAAAGAGCGGUAAAUGAGCUCUGUAGAGCAGCCAUGGCCACCAUUUUUACCAACGAUUUGCUUCAACGAAGGUGCACCAGAUU